rnacentral:piRNA from 1 species
UGUAGACAUGACCAUUUGGAAUU